CAAGAGUGAGUCACUUAAUGGGCAUCCUAUGGUUAAGAAAGUGCACAACUGGAGAGAAGUGGAGCAUCAGUUAGUUUCAUGGAUAGUUCCCAGGAAUUCCUCUCCAAAUUAGACUCAAAAUUAAUUAAAAAAAAUGUAUGAUUUGUAUUCUAUUUGACUUCAUAUAUUAAACCAAUCGUAAACCUGCUUGAAGGCGACCAUAAAGUGAAGCCUCAGCUAUUAGAAGUUGGUAAUCAGUAGAAUAAUCAUAUCAUCUUUUAUUUUUUGUUCCAUUUGCCUUUCUACUCUGCACAGAUAUAAAAUCAGUGUGUUAGUAGUAAAACUUCUUUUUAUAGGUUAAAGCUGACAGUCUCAUUAUACUUGCAACCCAUAAAGGUACACAAUAUUACACCAAUUCAUUUCCUGGUUGACGUAUGUGCUUCUGUUUUUGUUGUGAUUGAAUUGUUAGAAAAAUGUACAAAAGCACGUUGUAGAGAUAAAUUGAGAAAUUUAAGCUAAAUUGUUUCAAAAAUAGAAAGGUCACUUUCUUUUUGAAACUAAUUAAUAAAGAAAUAAUACCACAUAGAAUGAAAUAGAGAUAGUACUAAACUAUGAAGGAAAUGUAUUAUAAAAGAAAUUCUUAUAUAAUAUACAGGACAGAGUUAGAGUUAUGUACAUUAAUGAAAUUGAUUUCGCCUGCUGAUUUACUAGGAGGCAAUUUGACACCCUUCAGAAAAAAAGAAUUUAUUUUGAUGUCAAGUUGGUCAUACUGCAACCACGUUGUAAAGACCAAUCGUCUGUAAACAUUAUUCGAUCUUCUCCAGCAACUUGAAUCCAUAUGCCUCCAAAAUAUCCAGUGCUGCAAAUUUACAUAAAAUGAGCUAUUAUGUCACUAACUGUUUCUUUUCCAACAAAACCAGCGCUGACAAAUGAUAUAAACAGAGACAAUUUAUCAGCUAUAUGCUAUGGUAACUGCUGAUAUAACACAAGUAGACUGAUUCCAACUAAAGCAUAUCUGGAGUUCAUUUGUUUGCUUAUUUUACAAGCAAGCGACUGUUCUAAUAUUUUGCUGAAAGGGAAGGAUUGUUUUUCUCUCUCUUUUUUGAGGGUGGGGGUUGNN
rnacentral:lncRNA from 1 species